rnacentral:rRNA from 1 species
UACGAAGGGGGCUAGCGUUGCUCGGAUUUACUGGGCGUAAAGGGCGCGUAGGCGGACAGUUAAGUUUGGGGGGUGAAAGCCCGGGGCUCAACCUCGGAAUUGCCUUCAAUACUGGCUGUCUUGAGUGUGAGAGAGGUGUGUGGAACUCCGAGUGUAGAGGUGAAAUUCGUAGAUAUUCGGAAGAACACCAGUGGCGAAGGCGACACACUGGCUCACUACUGAGCUGAGGCGCGAAAAGCGUGGGGGAGCAAACAGG